rnacentral:rRNA from 1 species
GGUGGAGUGAUUUGUCUGGUUUAUUCCGAUAACGAACGAGACUCUAACCUGCUAACUAGUCUUGCGAUACUUGUGUCGUACGGACUUCUUAGAGGGAUCAGUGGUGUUCAGCCACACGAAAUUGAGCAAUAACAGGUCUGUGAUGCCCUUAGAUGUUCGGGGCUGCACGCGCGCUACACUGGAUGGAUCAACAUGCUCGUUACCUGGGCCGAAAGGCUUGGGGAACCCUUUGAAAACCAUCCGUGAUCGGGAUAGGGAAUUGCAAUUAUUUCCCUUCAACGAGGAAUUCCCAGUAAGUGUGAGUCAUCAGCUCGCGCUGAAUACGUCCCUGCCCUUUGUAC